AAAGCUCGUAGUUGAAUUUCUGACUUCGGAUGUCGGUCAGCCCCAAGGGGUUUGUACCUGACUGUUCGGAGUCAUCCUCGAGAUGAAGAUGUCUGUCAUUAAGUUGAUGGGCAUGGGAUUCUCGUCGUUUACUGUGAGUAAAAUAGAGUGUUCAAAGCAGACAUUAUGUCAUUGAUACGUUAGCAUGGAAUAAUAAGAU
rnacentral:rRNA from 1 species